rnacentral:tRNA from 1 species
UCCCUGGUGGCUCAAAGGUUAAAGCGUCUGCCUGCAAUGCGGGAGGACCCAGGUUCAUCCCCUGGGUAGGGAA